AGAGGCCGGCCACUUAGGGAAGAUUUAGCUAGCAAUCUUUUCUUCUCUAAGUCAUCCAUUUCAUCUUCACACCUCACCCUUGGUGUGGAGACUUAGAGACACCAAACCUUUGGUGUUUUUGGAGAUCCUUUUCUCACAUCCUCAAGGAGCAAAGGAGCACUAAAAGGGGAAAAAUCACAAGCAAGAUUCAAGGAGCUUGGAGGCGACUUGAAGGCCCUCGACUUGGGUGAAUCCCUUGUGUAAACAAGGAUGAGCUUCAAGGGUAAAGAAACUCUAAAUCU
rnacentral:lncRNA from 1 species